GUGCAUGGCACUCGACUACAAUGCAGUCGAGCGGCAGCACAGUAAGAGCUUGCUCUGUACGGGUGGCGAGUGGCGGACGGGUGAGGAAUACAUCGGAAUCUACUUUUUCGUGGGGGAUAACGUAGGGAAACUUACGCUAAUACCGCAUACGACCUACGGGUGAAAGCAGGGGACCUUCGGGCCUUGCGCGAUUGAAUGAACCGAUGUCGGAUUAGCUAGUUGGCGGGGUAAAGGCCCACCAAGGCGACGAUCCGUACCUGGUCUGAGAGGAUGAUCAACCACACUGGAACUGAGACACGGUCCAGACUCCUACGGGAGGCAGCAGUGGGGAAUAUUGGACAAUGGGCGCAAGCCUGAUCCAGCCAUACCGCGUGGGUGAAGAAGGCCUUCGGGUUGAAAAGCCCUUUUGUUGGGAAAGAAAUCCAGCCGGCUAAUACCUGGUUGGGAUGACGGUACCCAAAGAAUAAGCACCGGCUAACUUCGUGCCAUCACCCGCGGUAAUACAAAAGGUGCAAGCGUUACUCGGAAUUACUGGGCGUAAAGCGUGCGUAUGUGGUUGUUUAACUCUGUUGUGAAAGCCCUGGGCUCAACCUGGGAACUGCAGUGGAAACUGGACGACUAAAGUGUGGUAGAGGGUAGCGGAAUUCCUGGUGUAGCAGUGAAAUGCGUAGAGAUCAGGAGGAACAUACAUGGCGAAGGCAGCUACCUGGACCAACACUGACACUGAGGCACGAAAGCGUGGGGAGCAAACAGGAUUAGAUACCCUGGUAGUCCACGCCCUAAACGAUGCGAACUGUAUGUUGUGUGCAAUUUGGCACGCACUAUCGAAGCUCACGCGUUAAGUUCGCCGCCCGGGGAGUACAGUCGCAAGACUGAAACUCAAAGGAAUUGACUGGAGCCCGCACAGCCGAUGGAGUAUGUGGUUUAAUUCGAUGCAACGCGAAGAACCUUACCUGGCCCUUGACAUGUCGAGAACUUUCCAGAGAUGAAUUGUGCCUUCCGGUACUCGACAAUGUGCUGCAUGGCUGUCGUCAGCUCGUGUCGUGAGAUGAUGGUAGUCACGCACGAGCGCAGCCCUGUCUACUGCAGCCGUAUGCUGUGACUCUAUGAGACGCGCUGACAACAGCAGAAGAUGGGAUGACGUCAAGUCAUCAUGGUCCCUUACAGUCCAGGCUACUCACGUACUGACAAAUGGUAGGACGAGGGGCUCAAGUCAGCGCACGGUAGACAUCUCCGAAACUAUGUCUCCAUCCCGGAUUGUAGACAA
rnacentral:rRNA from 1 species